GAUGAAGAACGCAGUGAAAUGCGAUAAGUAGUGUGAAUUGCAGAAUUCAGUGAAUCAUCGAAUCUUUGAACACACAUUGCGCCCCUUGGUAUUCCAUGGGGCAUGCCUGUUCGAGCGUCAUUUGUACCUUCAAGCUCUGCUUGGUGUUGGGUGUUUGUCUCGCCUCUGCGUGUAGACUCGCCUCAAAACAAUUGGCAGCCGGCGUAUUGAUUUCGGAGCGCAGUACAUCUCGCGCUUUGCACUCAUAACGACGACGUCCAAAAGUACAUUUUUACACUCUUGACCUCGGAUCAGGUAGGGAUACCCGCUGAACUUAAGCAUAUCAAUAAGCGGAGGA
rnacentral:misc_RNA from 1 species